rnacentral:rRNA from 1 species
AUACGGAGGGUGCAAGCGUUACUCGGAAUCACUGGGCGUAAAGCGCGCGCAGGCGGCUAUUUAAGUUGGGUGUGAAAGCCUAUGGCUCAACCAUAGAACUGCAUCCAAAACUAUUUAGCUAGAGUGUGGGAGAGGAAGAUGGAAUUAGUUGUGUAGGGGUAAAAUCCGUAGAGAUAACUAGGAAUACCAAAAGCGAAGGCAAUCUUCUGGAACACUACUGACGCUGAGGCGCGAAAGCGUGGGGAGCAAACAGGAUUAGAUACCCUAGUAGUCC